rnacentral:rRNA from 1 species
CGUAUCUACCGGGUUAACUAUAGCUCCUGGAGCGUAUGCAUGCAAGUGUGAACCUCAGGGAGUACGGCCGGGAGGUUGCACAUCAAGUGAAAGUAUCGGGGGCAAUGCACAAGCAACGGGAGCAUGUCUUUUCAUGGCUUGCAACGCGCAGAACCCCGGUGAAACCUGGGAGUGCCUUCGGGAUCCAGAGAACAGAUUGGUGCAUGGCUGUCGUCAGCCAGGGUCUUGAGAUGUUGGGUUAAGUCCCGUCACGAGAGCAUCGCUUAUCUCUAGCUACCAGCACUACGUUUGUCACUCUAGAGCGACUCCCUGUGACAAACCGUCUGGAGGAGCGGCUGGCGUCAAGUCGGAGGAAGGCGGGGAUUCUGGCAGGCACUCAUGCUACUUACGUGUAGGCCGACACAAGUGCUACAAUGGCAGCAACAAUGGGAUAAUCCCCAAAAGCUGUCUCAGUUCGGAAGUCGCCUGCAACUCGCCGGAAGGAAGUAUGAAUCGCUAGUAAUCGUGGAUCAGCAUGCCACGGUGAAUUCGUUCCCGGGCCUCGCACACACCCCCGUCACAUCAUGGGAGUUGGUUCUCGACGAAGUCCCCCACUCUUUCGGGAGGCAACGGGCCACGGCAGGAUCAGCGACUGGGGUGAAGUCGUAACAAG